AACGAACGCUGGCGGCAUGCCUAACACAUGCAAGUCGAACGAAACCUUCGGGUCUAGUGGCGCACGGGUGCGUAACGCGUGGGAACCUUCCCUUAGGUUCGGAAUAACUCCCCGAAAGGGGUGCUAAUACCGGAUAAUGUCUUCGGACCAAAGAUUUAUCGCCUUUGGAUGGGCCCGCGUUGGAUUAGCUAGUUGGUAGGGUAAAAGCCUACCAAGGCGACGAUCCAUAGCUGGUCUGAGAGGAUGAUCAGCCACACUGGGACUGAGACACGGCCCAGACUCCUACGGGAGGCAGCAGUGGGGAAUAGUGGACAAUGGGCGAAAGCCUGAUCCAGCAAUGCCGCGUGAGUGAUGAAGGCCUUAGGGUUGUAAAGCUCUUUUACCCGGGAUGAUAAUGACAGUACCGGGAGAAUAAGCUCCGGCUAACUCCGUG
rnacentral:rRNA from 1 species